rfam:Providencia rettgeri Dmel1 chromosome, whole genome shotgun sequence.
CUUUAACAAUCUGGAACAAGCUGAAAAUUGAAAACAACGCACAUUGUUUAUCGCUUAAACAAUGUGAGAGUCUCUCAAAAAUCUCAACUUGAAUAGUGUACUUUAAACUAUCGAG